CCGGUUAAAAUUCCGGAA
rnacentral:snRNA from 1 species